rnacentral:rRNA from 1 species
UACGAAGGGUGCAAGCGUUACUCGGAAUUACUGGGCGUAAAGCGUGCGUAGGUGGUUGUUAAGUCUGAUGUGAAAGCCCUGGCUCAACCUGGGAAUUGCAUUGGAUACUGGCAGGCUAGAGUGCGGUAGAGGGUAGUGGAAUUCCCAGUGUAGCAGUGAAAUGCGUAGAGAUCGGGAGGAACAUCCGUGGCGAAGGCGACUACCUGGACCAGCACUGACACUGAGGCACGAAAGGCGUGGGGAGCCAAAC